CAGGUCUUGACAUCCUUUGAAGCUUUUAGAGAUAGAAGUGUUCUCUUCGGAGACAAAGUGACAGGUGGUGCAUGGUCGUCGUCAGCUCGUGUCGUGAGAUGUUGGGUUAAGUCCCGCAACGAGCGCAACCCUUAUUGUUAGUUGCCAGCAUUCAGUUGGGCACUCUAGCGAGACUGCCGGUGACAAACCGGAGGAAGGCGGGGACGACGUCAGAUCAUCAUGCCCCUUAUGACCUGGGCUACACACGUGCUACAAUGGCGUAUACAACGAGUUGCCAACCUGCGAAGGUGAGCUAAUCUCUUAAAGUACGUCUCAGUUCGGACUGCAGUCUGCAACUCGACUGCUCGAAGUCGGAAUCGCUAGUAAUCGCGGAUCAGCACGCCGCGGUGAAUACGUUCCC
rnacentral:rRNA from 1 species